rnacentral:antisense_RNA from 1 species
AAGCGAGGUGGCGCCCCCCUCCCCUGUGGCCUCGCGCGCUCCCUUCCUGGGCUACCGACCUCGCCCUCGCGUCCGCGGCGUCCCCUGCCGGCCGGGCGGCGAUUUGCAGGUCCAGCCGGCGCCGGUUUCGCGCGGCGGCUCAACGUUCACGGAGCCCCACGAGUACCCACCCGCUGCCCAGAUCGGCAGCCGCUGCGGCGGGGAGAAGCAGUAUCGUGCAGGGCGGGCUUCCAGUUGGGCUUCGAUUUUAUAGGUUCAGAAAGUGUGUCUCAGAGGAGUUAGAGAAGACCAAUUAAUAGAUGACAGUGCUGAAGCCUGGAUCUCCUGAAUCUUGGAUGAAAGUGUCGUAAGUUAGAUUCCUGGGAAGAAAUUUCUGAGACACAUUCUGCAGGAUGAUUAUUAGGGCUCAUCCUUGGUUUCAACACCUAUAGAAGGAAGGCGGAAGAAGACAUUGAACAGAGAGAC